AGCGAACGCUGGCGGCAGGCCUAACACAUGCAAGUCGAGCGGCCGUAGCAAUACGGCAGCGGCAGACGGGAGAGUAACACGUGAGAACGUGCCCUUCAGUUCGGAACAACCCAGGGAAACUUGGGCUAAUACCGGAUACGCCCUUACGGGGAAAGAUUUAUCGCUGAAGGAGCGGCCCGCGUCUGAUUAGCUAGUUGGUGGGGUAAUGGCCCACCAAGGCGACGAUCAGUAGCUGGUCUGAGAGGAUGGUCAGCCUCACUGGGACUGAGACACGGCCCAGACUCCUACGGGAGGCAGCAGUGGGGAAUAUUGGACAAUGGGCGCAAGCCUGAUCCAGCCAUGCCGCGUGGGUGAUGAAGGCCCUAGGGUUGUAAAGCCCUUUCGGCGGGGAAGAUAAUGACGGUACCCGCAGAAGAAGCCCCGGCUAACUUCGUGCCAGCCGCCGCGGUAACAC
rnacentral:rRNA from 1 species